GCGGAGCCUCCGCCGGUACCGCCCCGCAGCCUCUCCUCAGACUCCGGGUCGCCUCACCCACGGCGGCCUCCGGCUCCCGGAGCACAGCCGGGCCCCUGUGGUCGGCGCCUGGACGCUGCCGAGAGCCUCGCGGCGUGCGUGACUCUGGUCUUCGGCUGCGAAGGGUGCGUGGCCCCGCAGCCGAGGCGCGGAAGGGGGACGCCCCGGCCUCGGGGGCCAGUGCACUUGUGCCCUCUUCGUUGUGAACGCCAGCAGCCCGGGAGAGCCCCGCGACUGGCGCGAUGAGUGCCAACGAGGACCAAGAGAUGGAACUAGAAGCUUUACGUUCUAUUUAUGAAGGAGAUGAAAGUUUCCGGGAAUUAAGUCCAGUUUCAUUUCAAUACAGGAUAGGUGAAAAUGGCGAUCCCAAAGCCUUCUUAAUAGAGAUUUCCUGGACAGAAACCUAUCCCCAGACACCUCCAAUUAUAUCUAUGAAUGCUUUUUUUAACAACACCAUAUCAUCAGCUGUAAAGCAGAGUAUAUUAGCCAAGUUACAGGAAGCAGUAGAAGUUAAUCUUGGCACCGCCAUGACUUAUACAUUGUUUGAAUAUGCCAAGGACAAUAAAGAGCAGUUCAUGGAGAACCAUCAUCCCAUUAAUUCUGCAACAUCCAUAAGCAAUAUCAUCUCAGUUGAAACUCCUAAUACAGCCCCAUCAAGUAAGAAAAAAGAUAAAAAAGAACAACUUUCAAAAGCCCAGAAACGUAAGCUGGCAGAUAAAACAGACCACAAAGGGGAACUCCCUCGGGGCUGGAACUGGGUUGAUGUCGUGAAGGUAUGUAAAGUCUGUGUUCGAGUCUUCAAAAUUGUUACGUGACUGCCGUCAAAUAAUGAGAUUUGUGUUUUCCGUUUCCCCUGCCACGUUUGGGAUUCACCGGCACGUCUGCUUCCUCCUUCCCGCUCAGCAUUUAAGCAAAACUGGCUCUAAAGAUGAUGAAUAACAACUUGGGAUUUGAGAAGUAAACACAUCGUUUAGACAGUAAACUGGGUUGAAAAUCUUUCAUUACUAUUUUCUGGUAUUGAGGUGGCUUUUUAUAAAGCACAGUUUUUUUGUAAGUUUCUUACAUAAAAAAUGUUUUAAGUGGAAAGUUCAUGAAGAGAUCUGGUUGUAUUGUUUUCACAAACUUGCCUUAAUAAAAGGUGAAAAUGUUAAUUGUUAGUAUACUUUAUGAACUGUGUUGAGCUUUAUAACUGGUCAAUAGGGAAUAAUAAUCGUUGUUAAUUUAUAUGAUCUUAUUCCAGUAGAUGUGAUAGUUUUUAAAGGCGAACAAAGCCUUUUUCAAACUGUCACCCCCAUACAGCGGAGUACUGAGUCCAGUUAUUCCAUAGUGUGCCCCGUGUUGCUGGGGUUCUAGAAUAAAGUCUUUAUCUCUGCUUUUGUUUAAUUACUGAAGCACACAUUGCCUCAGAGAAGUUUAAAUACCAGUAUUUGAAUUUUACACAUGGGUACUCUUCAUAGUUCGUUUUUAUUUCUCAAGUGUGACCCUUUAAUAAAUUAGUAUCUUUAUAUUUUUAUCUUGAUUUGUGUCACAAUAUUUGAUCAUGAGAGCUUUCAGUGAUAAAUGGAUUAGGAGAAUAUAAAAACAAAUCCGCCAAAUACAUUUGAAAGCAUUCGUGUAGUAAGUGUUAGCUCUUAUUUAAAAGAUUUCUCUUUGCGGCAUAUAUCAGGAUGAGAGUGAAAAAAUGCCUUAAUGUUUAAUUUUUGUGUUGUUGGAGACAAUGAGCUCAGUAAAUUCAUAUUUAUCUACUGUUUUGUGUUUUUAGUCCUUGGAUAACUGAAUCCUUCCAGAUGGUUCAACAUGGAACCACAUUUCAAGUCUUAUUUCCUUUCAGGAUCUUUCCAAGUAUCCACAUACAUUUUUCAACCUGAGCAUCUUUUUAAUACAAAGAAGCCUUUCAGAAGCUAAGCUAUCAUAUACACUUGAUUUGUUUUUAAAUCUUGAAUAGAGGAAACUAUUACUGUUUCACCAGAAAAAGUUACUGAUGUUGACGUGUGAUUUAGUUUAUACUCCCCAGCUUUAAGAACACUUAGACCUACUGCUUUGUCUGGAAGGACAGAUGUUAGUUCUUCAAGUUACUAUACUUGUGCAACUUGAGUGAGAGUUUUUUAAUAAACAUCUAACUGUGCAAAAAGAAGUUACCUUAGUGUGAGAGCAGGUUUGAGUUGUACCCAUGGUUUUCACUGGGUUAGUUUUCACUUCAGUCAAAUCAUUUGAAUUAUAAAGAAUUAUAGUGAAGGAGUUUAAUCGCAUUUUCAAAAGCUGAAUCACAUUUUCUUUCUUGAUUAAUAUAGAGCAAAAUGUUGAAAUUCAGGACCACUGGUAUAUGCCAAUUUUUGUUGGGGUUGUACAUAUGUAGUUCUUGUUGUGUUGAUUUGUUUGUUUACUAUUUUGAAGAAACAUCUGCUCAUGGAAGAAAAUACUUUGUUUUGCUCUAAAGAUCCCAAAACUGAUCAGGCUUAUCGUUGUUCGUAGAUUACAAAGAGUAAUGCUAGUUAAAUGCCAAUGAACUAUUUUUACACUUUUUAUAUGAAAUGUACAGAUUUCUGGGGUGGUGGUGGCAGUGGUGCCUCUUAUUACCUUCUGUAAGACACUUGAGCCUUCUCAUCAAUACUGCCAUCAUCUGUCUGAUAUUCCCAGUAUAUUUUCUCAAAGUCUGUUUACUUAAAAUUGUGUGGAAUGACAUAAUAAGCAAUAAAGUCUGCAUUACCGUGA